GCUUCUCCCUGUUGGCCUUCUCCUUCCUGAUUCUGCUGUAGGGUUUUGCGUUAGCUUCCGGACUUUGAAGAGAAACUAAAGCAGUUUUGAAACUACAGGGACUGAGGCUAGAGGUACCUGAGGACCUCCGUGUGAGGGACAGGCUCUAACCCUGCAGAAGUCUUUUGGCCUCUAGCCUGCUUCCCGUUCUUUUUUCUCCUGACCCUCACUCCCCUGCCUCCCCCCGCCCCCACCGUACUCUGUAGUCGGUGUCUCUCUGGCCUUAAUGAAAGGAAAUACAGCAAGAUGAGGUGAGAAAACUGAGGUCAGAAAGAUAAACUGAUGGGCCCAAGCUAGAAGUGCAAGUAUCCUGAUGUUCAGAGUCUGUUUUCUGGGGAGUUCCACCAAUGACAACACCUAAAGCAAGAGGAGAGCUGUUUCUCAACACCCUCGAAAUCCAAGCUCUUUUCUAAGUAUCUAAGGUCAAUAGGUGAUAUAAUUUUGAGUGACUUCUGCCUACCUAGAGCUAGUUCUUCAUGCAUUGACACCAGUGUUCCACAUGAGAAAUGAGGAGAAAUAGAACCAGUGAACCCGUCAGUCUUGUUCUCUGUCCACAAAUGAGCCCACAGUCAUUUUACCAUGCUGUUCAAUGUUGAUUUAGAUAAUUACUAGUUUUUAAAAUGUUCACAUUUAAU